AGAGUUUGAUCCUGGCUCAGGACGAACGCUGGCGGCGUGCUUAACACAUGCAAGUCGAACGGUGAACCGCCUUCGGGCGGGGAUCAGUGGCGAACGGGUGAGUAACACGUGGGUAACCUGCCCUCCACUCUGGGAUAACUCCGGGAAACCGGGGCUAAUACCGGAUACGACCUGAGGCGGCAUCGCCUCGGGUGGAAAGUUUUUCGGUGGAGGAUGGACCCGCGGCCUAUCAGCUUGUUGGUGGGGUAAUGGCCUACCGAGGCGAUGACGGGUAGCCGGCCUGAGAGGGCGACCGGCCACACUGGGACUGAGACACGGCCCAGACUCCUACGGGAGGCAGCAGUGGGGAAUAUUGCACAAUGGGCGAAAGCCUGAUGUAGCGACGCCGCGUGAGGGAUGACGGCCUUCGGGUUGUAAACCUCUUUCAGCAGGGACGAAGCGCAAGUGACUGUACCUGCAGAAGAAGCACCGGCUAACUACGUGCCAGCAGCCGCGGUAAUACGUAGGGUGCGAGCGUUGUCCGGAAUUAUUGGGCGUAAAGAGCUUGUAGGUGGCUCGUUGCGUCGGGAGUGAAAACCCGCGGCUUAACCGCGGGCCUGCUUCCGAUACGGGCGAGCUAGAGUUCGGCAGGGGAGACUGGAAUUCCUGGUGUAGCGGUGGAAUGCGCAGAUAUCAGGAGGAACACCGGUGGCGAAGGCGGGUCUCUGGGCCGAUACUGACACUGAGAAGCGAAAGCGUGGGGAGCGAACAGGAUUAGAUACCCUGGUAGUCCACGCCGUAAACGUUGGGAACUAGGUGUGGGGUCCAUUCCACGGGCUCUGUGCCGCAGCUAACGCAUUAAGUUCCCCGCCUGGGGAGUACGGCCGCAAGGCUAAAACUUAAAGGAAUUGACGG
rnacentral:rRNA from 1 species